GAUGAACGCUGGCGGCGUGCUUAACACAUGCAAGUCGAACGAAGCACUUAAGAUUGAUUCUUCGGAUGACGUCUUUUGUGACUUAGUGGCGGACGGGUGAGUAACGCGUGGGUAACCUGCCUCACACAGGGGGAUAACAGUUAGAAAUGACUGCUAAUACCGCAUAACCCGAUAGGAUCGCAUGAUCCAGACGGAAAAGAUUUAUCGGUGUGAGAUGGACCCGCGUCUGAUUAGCUAGUUGGUGAGGUAACGGCCCACCAAAGCGACGAUCAGUAGCCGGCCUGAGAGGGUGAACGGCCACAUUGGGACUGAGACACGGCCCAAACUCCUACGGGAGGCAGCAGUGGGGAAUAUUGCACAAUGGGGGAAACCCUGAUGCAGCGACGCCGCGUGAGUGAAGAAGUAUUUCGGUAUGUAAAGCUCUAUCAGCAGGGAAGAAAAUGACGGUACCUGACUAAGAAGCCCCGGCUAACUACGUG
rnacentral:rRNA from 1 species